rnacentral:ncRNA from 1 species
ACAGUACAAACUGAACAGGCAGUAAUCAGAUUGAUUAUGUGCCGGGUCACUUACAUUUCGUAUUUUCGUGACAGCAGACAGCAUAGCAUCUGCGGGACAGU